GUACGUCCCCCGACGUCGCCUCCCCGAGUGCCCAUCCGGCAGCGCCAGCUCAACUUGGCAGCCAAGCCCGAUGCGACGCAGG
rnacentral:ribozyme from 1 species